AACUUUGAAGAGAGAGUUCAAGAGUACGUGAAACUGCUGAGAGGCAAACUGGUGGGCCCUCGAAAUCCCGUUUGCGGGGAGAUUCAGUCGGGUGUCGGCGGCCGUCUCUAAAAUGGGUCUGUCGCAACCGAAAGAUCGGGGCACAUUCCGAGGGACGUGUUCCGCUGGAACCCGACGCAUUUCCCGCCCGCACGAAAGGACGCCGCAGCCGGUCGGGUAGCUGCGCGUGUCGGCCAUGAGGACGUUGCAACGGCAGGUGACCGGCGGCCCCAGGCUUCUUCGGAGGCACUGACGGUCGACGGUUGAUUAGCCGGCUCGUCCGUGGCGCGACACCCGACCGAGGUAAAUAGAGAGAACGGGCGUUCUUCUCCACGGAGAUACGUUCCCGUCUGCAAUCCACUACUUUCAAACGAGAGAGCGAGCCGUCGGACAGGCGCGUUCCUGCGUGGUCGGACAGUCACCGCACUGGUCGAUCUGGUGGGAGCGCGUCGUUAGUACCGAGUCAGGAUCUCGCGGAGGAUGAAGGCUGGCGGCGAGUAGGUCGGUAACCCACCCGACCCGUCUUGAAACACGGACCAAGGAGUCUAACAUGUGCGCAAGUCGCGGGGUCUUGUUCAGGCCCAAAGGCGAAAUGAAAGUGAAGGCCGCCGCUUCCCCUUAUUCACUUAGGGGCGGAGUGAGGCGGCCGGGUUGGGAUCCGCACGUGACACGGCACGUGACGAAGCACCAACGGCCCGCCCUGUUCUAUUUUCUCAAUAGGAACUCAAACGGAGUUUGAGCGCACACGUUGGGACCCGAAAGAUGGUGAACUAUGCCUGGGCAGGACGAAGCCAGAGGAAACUCUGGUGGAGGUCCGCAGCGGUUCUGACGU
rnacentral:rRNA from 1 species